GAUGAACGCUGGCGGCGUGCCUAAUACAUGCAAGUCGAGCGAACAGACGAGGAGCUUGCUCCUCUGACGUUAGCGGCGGACGGGUGAGUAACACGUGGAUAACCUACCUAUAAGACUGGGAUAACUUCGGGAAACCGGAGCUAAUACCGGAUAAUAUAUUGAACCGCAUGGUUCAAUAGUGAAAGACGGUUUUGCUGUCACUUAUAGAUGGCUCCGCGCCGCAUUAGCUAGUUGGUAAGGUCACGGCUUACCAAGGCAACGAUGCGUAGCCGACCUGAGAGGGUGACCGGCCACACUGGAACUGCGGGAGGGUCCAGACUCCGACGGGAGGGAGCAGAAGGGAGGCUUCCGCUAUGGGCGAGAGGCUGACGGAGGCGGGCCGCGUGCGGGGCGAAGGUCCCCGGAGGGUAAAAAACUGUGAGUUGGGAAGAAAAGACGUGCAAGUUCCUGGGCACCGAGUGACGGUACCUGAUCAGAAAGCAACGGCCAACGACCUG
rnacentral:rRNA from 1 species